rnacentral:lncRNA from 1 species
GCAUCAUCAACCCUUCCAGCUUUACAGGUUCGUAGCACUAACCAAAACUGUUGUAUUAUUUACACAAUCUCAGGACACGUUUUAAAAAGCAUGUGCACCCCCGCUUACCAAUCAAUAUCCACCAAAUAUAUGUUUCCAUUUACAUUCAUCCAUGUUCUUUCACAGGUAGCAUCCGCUAUAUGCAACAACUUUAUCACGAUGCGAUGGCCGUUACUCAUUAUUAUGGCAAUCCCGAUCUUUUCAUUACAUUCACAUGUAAUGUGCAAUGGCCUGAGAUUGUUAAUGCGUUCAAGGAUGAAGUUGGGACCAAUAGUGAGAAUAAACCAAUGGUAGUAGCUCGCGUCUUCCGUAUGCGUUUGGCGCUCCUGAAAGUCGAUCUAAAUAGGGCUCAGUUCUUCGGGAAAAAUGUGGCAAGUAAGCACCAUUAGGAAUGUACUUUAUUCAACACCCACGUACAUUUAUCAUUUUGUUCCCCACAUUUCCUAACUUUGGUUUCUCAACCUACCUUCCAUGCAUAUAGGUAUGCAUACAGUUGAAUUCCAAAAACGUGGCUUGCCACAUGUUCACAUUAUCCUCUGGCUGCAAGAUAUUUAUAAACCUACGACUACUACAAUGGUUGACAGAAUAAUCUCAACGGAGCUUCCAAAUCCAGAAAUAGAUCCAAUGGGAUAUGAAGCUGUGACCAAAUUUAUGCUCCAUGGCCCUUGCGGUGAUGCGAACCCUUCCUGCCCAUGUAUGAAAAACAAUAGGUGUUCAAAAUUGUUCCCCAAACCAUACAUCUCCGAGACAACAUUUGACGAACAUGGUCAUGUUACAUAUCGCCGGCGUCAAUCAAAUAUUAGUGCAAUCAAGUCUGGACAGACAUUAGACAAUGCAUUUGUGGUUUCGUACAAUCGCGAUCUUCUUGUCAAAUAUCAGACACAUAUGAACAUUGAGAUCUGCCACAAAGGCCAACUAAUCAAGUAUUUGUUUAAGUAUAUAACAAAAGGUCCGGACAGGUCAGAAGUCGCUGCUGAACGACAGCCUAACACUACUAGAAAGAACAAUCCGGACCCAAACGCACCCAUUGACGAAAUAUCUCAGUACUUAGAUUGCAGAUCCAUUUCUUCACAUGAGGCAAUUUGGAGAUUAUAUGCAUUCAAGAUCCACGAAAGAACACCAGCUGUUUUCCGCCUAUGCGUCCACCUUCCCAACCAGCAACAAGUUUCGUAUCCUGAACACCAAACACUUGCAUCAAUUAUCAACCGCCCAUGUAUUGACAAAACAAUGUUGACUGAAUGGUUCACCCUCAACCGGUUGUGGCCGCCAGCUAGAAAAUAUUUAUAUUCUGAAAUUACACAUGCUUUUGUUUGGGAUAAGCAAUGUGCACAAUGGACGCCUAGGAAGAGGGGGUUUGUACUCGGUCGCGUGGCUUCAGUCCCUCCUCGGACCGAUGUGUUUUAUCUCAGGUUGUUGUUAAGCAAAAUUCAUGGAGCAACAAGCUUCACAGACAUGCGCACGGUCAAUGGAGUCGUAUGCACGGACUAUCGGGAAGCAUGCAAAGCCCUAGGCCUUCUAUCAAAUGAUGAUGAGUGGAAUGAUGUCAUGGUCGAGGUUUCACGUUGGGGCAUGGCACCGCUCAUCCGAAGCACAUUCGUAUCUCUUCUGAUUUUCUGCCAUGUUGCUUCCCCGAGCACAUUAUUUGAUCAAUGGUGGCCAUCAAUGUCUGAUGACUUCACAUACCACCAGCAACAUCUUAGAGAUGAUCCAACUCCAGACCCGUUUCCUGGUAAUUUGCGCAACCAAGUCCUACUCGCAUUACAAGUUCUCCUUCAGAACUACUCAAUGACACUUUCGCAGUUCAACCUACCACACCCUGUUGUUGCUCCCAUGGAUGACACUUGUAAUGAUUUGGUAGCACAACAAUUGCAGUACGACUGCAACCGCGAACAAACUAUGUACAACCACUACCACUCAUCCCUAAACGAAUACCAGAAAAUAGCUCACGAUACUGUUGUAGCUUCAUUGUCGAACAACCAGGGGAAAUUGUUUUUCUUAUAUGGCCAUGGAGGCACUGGGAAAACAUAUAUGUACAAUUGCAUCCUCGCAAAGGUCCGAAGCGAGGGAAAAAUAGCUUUGGUUGUCGCACCCUCGGGUAUAGCAUCCACUUUAUUGACAGGAGGAGUCACGGCACAUUCACGCUUCAAGAUACCCAUCGAUGUUGACCAUACGUCGACCUGCGCGAUUACGAAAGGAACCUCCCUCGCACUACUUAUCCAGAAAACAUCUUUGAUCGUCUGGGAUGAAGCGCCUAUGGUCCAUCGGUUGAGUUUCGAGGCUCUCGACCGAACCCUUUGUGACAUCAUGGAUGUUGCUUCACAAGGACCAUGUUAUAGACCUUUCGGUGGUAAAACUGUUUUACUCGGUGGCGACUUUCGCCAAACAUUACCAGUUGUCAAAAUUGGUGGGCGUGAGGCUAAUAUCAACGCAUCUUUAACCCAUUCGUACUUAUGGUCUCAUUGUGUGCUACUGGAACUGCAUUCAAACAUGUGUAUCCACCAAUCAAACACUAAUAUGGCAGCAGACUUUGCCGGCCUAACAUUUUCAGAAUGGAUCCUAGCUGUAGGAGAUGGUAAAAUACACACCCUUACACCUCCAACCCAUGCAACCUCUGAUUGGAUAUCUAUCUCACAACGCUUCAUCAUACCAUUGUCAGGAAACCCAAUCCGCUCAAUUGUUGAACAUGUCUACCCAAGACUCCAAUCUUCAUAUCAGAACAUGACCUACAUCCGGAUUAGAGCAAUUGUCACCCCCACCAACACCAAUGUCGGGUUAAUCAAUGAUUAUAUCCUUGAACAACUACCAGGCCAGCCAAAAGUAUACCUCAGUGCAGACUCACUUACAACACCCGGCCCUAAUCAACAGACCCUAGAGAUUCAAUAUCCAACUGAAUUUCUAAACGGAUUAUCAUUUAAUGGAAUGCCAGAACAUCAAAUCAAGUUUAAACCCUAUUGUAUCGUCAUGCUGUUGCGAAACUUAAAUCCGUAGGCAAGAUUAUGUAAUGGUACGCGCAUCUUGCUAACACAUUUGGCCACUCAUGUUGUUCGUGGCCUCAUUGUUGGCGGAACAUUUGAAGGUACUAUUGCUAUUAUCCCACGCAUAAUCCUUGACUAUACGGAUCCUAACUGGCCAUUCACACUUCGGAGAAGACAAUUUCCCCUAAAGCUAUGCUAUGCUAUGACGAUAAACAAAAGUCAAGGACAAACCCUCGACCAAGUUGGCCUAUAUCUGUCUUCUCCAGUUUUCAGCCACGGUCAACUAUAUGUGGCGAUAUCAAGGGUCAGAUCAGCAACUGGGAUCCACAUAGUUAUCCAAAAUGAUGAAACCACAAGACCAGACAUCACCCGCAAUAUUGUGUACAAAGAAAUAUAUGAAGACCUGCAUUCAAGUCCAUCUACCUAUGUCGAAUCUUCGAUAUAAAUAUAUAUAUAUAAUUGUAAUUCUACAUAAUUGUAACCCGUAUUCGACAAAAGCAAUUGCAACCCUAUAUAUAAGUGGUCCAUGGUGACAUUAUUUUAUUAAAUAGCUCUAUCACAUUACAGAUCAGUAACCAAACCGGUUCUACAUGUCAAUUAUAUACUAAGCGGCAUCGCGCGUGCUCGAAAUCUAGUUGUUUAAUUAAGGCUUAAAUCUCCCAAGUGUCACCAUCUUUUAGGAAAUUCAAUAGGUGAUGAUUUACAGAAAAUGGCAAUAGGUGGUGUAUAAGUUUGGAAUUUCUUGAAAAGUGGUUAUGGAGAUGUAAGCCAUUAAUUAAUAAUCUAUUUUUCUUUUCUUUUAUCAAAAAAACUAAUAGAAAGAGCAGCUGCAGCUGGGGGAAGUUUGAAUGAAUGGCUCUCUGGAAUGGAUCAACUUGCUGAGGAGGCUCUAACAGCAGGUGAAGUUCAUGAUACUGGCUGAAUGAUUUUGGAAUGUUCAUUUGUCUUUAAUGUAGUAGCUGCCGUGAUUGCUUUACAUACAACACAGUUCUUUAGACUUUUAGCUAGGUUGGAUCAAGGUACUAGUUAUGUGUAAAAGCACAGUAGUGGAGCUGUUAGCAGAGAGCACCACAGUGAUGAUUGUAAGGAUAUUUGAUCAGAAGCUUUUCACUGAGAGUUAAUAAAUCUCAAGCCAUAUUUAUGUAGCUUUUACCAUGCAAAAACUUAGGAACUACUGGCAUUUCAACUUGAACUCGCUCUUUUGGUUCUUGAUGGAGCGUUCUCAUCUUCUGAUUGAGAAAUUAAAAUCUGGGU